rnacentral:rRNA from 1 species
UACGAAGGGGGGCUAGCGUUGCUCGGAAUUACUGGGCGUAAAGCGUGCGCAGGCGGUUUUGUAAGUCUGUCGUGAAAUCCCCCGGGCUCAACCUGGGAAUUGCGAUGGAGACUGCAAGGCUAGAAUCUGGCAGAGGGGGGUAGAAUUCCACGUGUAGCAGUGAAAUGCGUAGAGAUGUGGAGGAACACCGAUGGCGAAGGCAGCCCCCCUGGGUCAAGAUUGACGCUCAUGCACGAAAGCGUGGGGAGCAAACAGG